CCCUUAGAUGUUCUGGGCUGCACGCGCGCUACACUGAAGCUAUCAACACGUUUUCCCUCCCUGAGAAGGGCGGGUAACCUUUUGAAUCAGCUUCGUGGUAGGGAUCGGGGCUUGCAAUUGUUCCCCGUGAACCAGGAAUUCCUAGUAGACGCGAGUCAUAAGCUCGCAUCGAUUAAGUCCCUGCCCUUUGUACACACCGCCCGUCGCUCCUACCGAUUGAACGUGCUGGUGAAGCGUUAGGACUGGCUCUCGGGGCAGGUCUCCUGCCCCUUGAAUCGGGAAUUUCGUUGAACCCUCCCGUUUAGAGGAAGGAGAAGUCGUAACA
rnacentral:rRNA from 1 species